rfam:Candidatus Midichloria mitochondrii IricVA, complete genome.
UUAUUGAGGAUUUUAGUUAGAAUCUUACUCCGCUUUGUCAAGUUUUGUAUGUUAAAUUUUUAAGAUAGAGGUUUCGGUGGCCCGUAUAGCUGGCGUUAAUAUUCCUACG